rnacentral:rRNA from 1 species
UACGUAGGGUACGAGCGUUGUCCGGAAUUAUUGGGCGUAAAGGGCUCGUAGGCGGUCUGUUGCGUCAGGAGUGAAAACUCGGGGCUUAACCCCGAGCCUGCUUCUGAUACGGGCAGACUAGAGGUAUGCAGGGGAGAACGGAAUUCCUGGUGUAGCGGUGAAAUGCGCAGAUAUCAGGAGGAACACCGAUGGCGAAGGCAGGUCUCUGGGCCGAUACUGACGCUGAGGAGCGAAAGCGUGGGGAGCGAACAGG